CCCAAAUUUCAUCAAAUCUUUGGCGCCACUGAUUUUUCUUUUUUCCUCUAUCUCAUUUUCACGCUCAACUCUCUCACUCUCUCACUCUCUUUCUUCAUCUCCAUCUCCUAUCUUCGUGCAACUAAGAAUCACUCAUAUCCCAUCGGCAAGAGCUCAAAUUUGUAGAGCAUCAAUGUUGAAGGCACUGUAAGUUGUGAGGAAGUUGUUGCAGCUCUUCGCUGUUAACAAAUUCACGAAGGAUUGGCUAAAUCUGGACAUCUACCUGCUAGGAGAACGCUUGUUUGAUUGAUUCCAAGUCCUAGCUCAUCACCUUCGAGAAACGCAUUCUCUCUUUGGUCAAAGGGCAGUAUCACUCCAUCAACAACACAUCAACUGAUUCAGGGUAAGAAAAGAAAAGAUACAAUCUGCAUUGCACUUGCUGAUGACACUUGUGAUCAACCAAAGAUUAGGAUGAAUAAUGUUGUUAUUACUCCAUCAUUCAAGUUUGUAGCAUAGCUAAAUGAGUUGGAGUUUGGAAAUUUCCAUCAUUCUUUAGGCUUUUGGAGUCCAUGUCAUAUGUUGAAGUGGCAUCCACAUCUGAAAUCAAGGUUUCUAUUGCCUUAAUGAUAAAUUUGAUUUCCGAUAACACUAGUAUUAACUAUUCUACUAUGUUAUUAUUGAUGCUAAAUCUGGAUUUCCCAUAACACUUGAAUUUCCUUCUAAUUGUACUCAAUAGAAUAUUGAAAGAUAGUUAAUGUUGUUUUCUAGAGUAUUUACGUUUUUUGCAUGUAAAAUAUUGGGAUUGUUCAUUUGCAGGAUGCUAAUUAAUCUACUUUGGAUUUAUAGAUUUUAUUGCGUUGUGCAUAACGCUUGGUCUGAACAUACAUUUCACUGACCUGAUUUGAGUGCAGAACUAGAUUUCUUAUGAGUGGAUUAUUAGUGAUGCUAAUGGUUUGCAAGUUGUCUGGUAUACAUCUGAUGGAAUGCUUGGUGCUGCCCUUUAAGUAGGUUUUUUAUUGUUGUUUUCUGGUUUUUUUGUUGUUCUAUUCUCUGGUUUGUUUGGUAGUUGGUGUCUUACUGCAUCCCUUCAAUUGGACUUCAUUAGAAUGUUCAAAAAUUUGCAAAACCUAAGGCUUAAUUAUAGCUUGUUUGGAGCUGAGAUUAUAAAAUAGCCAUCAAACCAACUAAAAAUCAGCACAAGCAUUUUACUAAAGUCUAUAUAAACUUAUAGAAACAAACCAAACCUAUUGAAGUCUCGGUUAUAAAAUCAGAGCUAAAUUUGGCGACUUUAUGUAGAAAU